UUGUUUGCUGCUUCAGCUCUCUGAAAGUGAACUUUCGCCAAAGAUGAAAUAGGAGAAAAGUUGCGCAAAUGAGAACAAGGCAUGGAUGAGAACCAGCAGCAAAGCAAAGCAAAGUAAACAAAAGUGCCAGUGAGGUGAGCAUAUGAUUAACAUGGACUGGCUGGAACAAGAAAUAGUUAUGGAAGAACAGCUGGAAAGAGGAAGAGAAGAACAAAGAAAAAGGGUGGAGCAAACGAAAAGAGAGAAACAAAGAAGGGGGAGAAGAAUAUUUUUCCGACACAUACCUCUACUUAAGUUAUCCCUUUUAAAAUUUUAAACCUAUAUAUCUAUAUUAGUCAGUAAUUCCUGUUUUUUCCAAAUAUGUGAAAUCAUGAUCUCUUGGAAAACUACUCUAUCAGGGAUAUAAAUUUAAUGUAUAUUGUUUCUUUUUUUUAUUUUUAAUUGAGCUCAAUGAUCUUGUUUAGGACAGCCAUAUUAGUAGUCAAUGUGAUCGGAAGACAUUAAAUAUUUGGAAGAGAAA